rnacentral:lncRNA from 1 species
AGCAGAGCAGAGCUGAAGAUGACAGAGUUAACCUUCAGAGCAGAGUUGAUGUUUACAGAGCCGGUGCUCUCGCCAGAGCAGAAUAAAUGUUUCCAGAGCUGGCAUGGUGUUCUCGCCAGAGCAGAGUACAUGUUUUCAGAGUUGGUGUUCCCAGAGCAGAGCUGACGUUCUUGUUGAUUUGCUUGUUCGGUUGCAAGGUUAUUCCUGGUUUGUUUCCUUGCAGGUUUUUGAAGCUUUUUGGAAUAUCUUUAAGAUAUAGCUUUUGCUUAAAGAGUCCGUUUCUUUGGGGUGUCUUCGUACCUUAGGACUCGCCGCCAUAUGAAAACCCUACAUGGGCCCUGCGUUGGUUUGGUGUGGCAGUUUAUGGGCUCUCUUCUUCUUGGCAAGGGUUUUCAUAUUUAAUGAGGGGUUGUCGAUCGUAGGCGGCUGAGGCAAUUAUUAUUAUUCUCAGUAUAUUCAGAGAGUGUUUCGUGCAUCUUCAUAGAGCAUACCGUUCGUGCUUUUCAGCGUGGAUUGAGUAGCAAUCACGUUAAGGAAGUAAGUUUUAUCUUGCUCUGCAUAGUUCACGAAGGAGAAGGUUUGGGAAGAUAUAUAGGCUAGGAAGAUAGAGUCUUCACGUGUAAGUUAUUUGUAUAUCUUAUCAUCUCUAGUGAACUAUUUGAACUGGGUGUGGUCCCCCCAGACGUAGGUGUUUUAUCACCGAACUGGGUAACCAUUGUUGGUGUUCUUGUGUUCUUUAUUUUUCUGCACGAGUUUCUUUAUUAGUCUCUUUAAUAGUUUUGACUGUGUGGUUGUGGGAGAUAUAUUUUACUUGGAUAGGUACAAUUUCAAUUGGUACCAGAGCGGGAUCACCCAAGUUAUCGGUGCUGUUUCCUGGAGUAUCUAUCCUAUUUAUUCCGUUGUUGCUGUGAUUGUGUGCCUCAUGGCAUCACAAAAAGAAGGUGGCUCAGUCUCUAGACCACCUCUGCUAGAUGGAAGCAAUUAUUCCUACUGGAAAAUGCGAAUGGUCUCGUUCAUUCGUGUCGUUGAUGAGAAUGCCUUGACUUCACUUGAGGAGGGAUUGACUACCCCGUGUGAUGAGGAGGGAAAGACAAAGCACAGAAGCAAAUGGUCAUCAACU